rnacentral:rRNA from 1 species
CCUACGGGAGGCUGCAGUGGGGAAUAUUGGACAAUGGGGGCAACCCUGAUCCAGCCAUGCCGCGUGUGUGAAGAAGGCCCUCGGGUUGUAAAGCACUUUCAGUGAGGAAGAACGCCUGGUGGUUAAUACCCAUCAGGAAAGACAUCACUCACAGAAGAAGCACCGGCUAACUCCGUGCCAGCAGCCGCGGUAAUACGGAGGGUGCGAGCGUUAAUCGGAAUUACUGGGAGUAAAGCGCGCGUAGGUGGCUUGAUAAGCCGGUUGUGAAAGCCCCGGGCUCAACCUGGGAACGGCAUCCGGAACUGUCAAGCUAGAGUGCAGGAGAGGAAGGUAGAAUUCCCGGUGUAGCGGUGAAAUGCGUAGAGAUCGGGAGGAAUACCAGUGGCGAAGGCGGCCUUCUGGACUGACACUGACACUGAGGUGCGAAAGCGUGGGUAGCAAACAGGAUUAGAUACCCCAGUAGUC